UAGGGAAUCUUCCGCAAUGGACGCAAGUCUGACGGAGCAACGCCGCGUGAGUGAAGAAGGAUUUCGGUUCGUAAAACUCUGUUGUUAGAGAAGAACAGCGCAUAGAGUAACUGUUAUGCGUGUGACGGUAUCUAACCAGAAAGCCACGGCUAACUACGUGCCAGCAGCCGCGGUAAUACGUAGGUGGCAAGCGUUGUCCGGAUUUAUUGGGCGUAAAGCGAGCGCAGGCGGUCAAUUAAGUCUGAUGUGAAAGCCCCCGGCUCAACCGGGGAGGGUCAUUGGAAACUGGGUGACUUGAGUGCAGAAGAGGAGAGUGGAAUUCCAUGUGUAGCGGUGAAAUGCGUAGAUAUAUGGAGGAACACCGGUGGCGAAAGCGGCUCUCUGGUCUGUAACUGACGCUGAGGCUCGAAAGCGUGGGGAGCGAACAGG
rnacentral:rRNA from 1 species